rnacentral:rRNA from 1 species
GUCUACGGCCACGCCACCCUGAACAAGCCCACUCCCGUCUGAUCUCGGAGGCUAAGCAGGGUCGGGCCUGGUUAGUACUUGGACGGGAGACCACCUAGAAAGACCAGGUGCUGUAGGUG